AUAUAAUUUCCAAAUUUUUGUUCCAAGAAAUGAUGAUCUUCAAUAAAUGUUUGAUUAGAUGAGACUUCCCCCUGGGUGAUCAAAUGUUUGAUUAAU